AAUAUUAGGGACUGAGUCUCACUAUGUUGUCUAGGCUGGUCUCAAACUCCUGGGCUCAAGAAAUCCUCCUGCCUUGGCCUCUGAAAGUGGUGGGAUUACAGGCGUGAGCCACUGUGCCUGGCUUAUCUUUAUUUCUUUACAACAGGAAAGAGAAAAUGUAUCUAUUCCCUCCCCUACCCCCAAUCCCACGCCCCCACCCCUGCCUUGUUUGAGCUGGAGUCUCCCUUCCAGUAGUCUGCUUCAGGGUCCUGAGUUCUCUUCCUGGCACGUUUUCUGGGUAUAGCAAGAGAACCAUUACCAUUACUAAACUCAGUAAUGGUAACGGUUUCCUUGCCAUUCCCAAGUGCCCUGGCAGUCAGUA
rnacentral:lncRNA from 10 species